CGGAUCCAGGACUUUCACUUGUCUGUUAACCAUACUUUAAAUUUACGCAGUAUAUAUCCUGGAGUACGUCCACACAUACAUACAUUCUAUCAAGUAUGAAAGUUACCACACCCAAACUAGAUAGGAUUAGCAUGUACAAUGCCAACAUGCAAAUUAAGGGCUCUACUCGGUGGCCCUUGACAUUUUGUUUGAGCCAUUUGCUUGCCGUGGGUUUAGGAGGCAUAAGGAAAUUAGUGUGUAUUCGGUGGUGAUCAGCAUUCAGCCUCAUCUUUUUUAUGGGCACUUGCCUGCAUCUAUCUUCAACCAAUUUGGCAUUUGUUCCAAUUCGAUAGCGUCAUGUGGUGUUACUGCAAAGGAAGGUACAUGGAAUCAAUGAAAUACAUAGAUGAUGAUGUCUCUUU
rnacentral:lncRNA from 1 species